AUGGGGGGGAGGGCGCCACAAACAAUACUUACCGAUCAAAACAGGGCGAUGGAGGUUGCCAUAAGUAAUGUCAUGCCAAACACGGCUCACCGGUGGUGCAAGUGGCAUGUGCUAAAGAAGGCAAAAGAUUCGCUUGGCCCAUUGUACACAAAGAAGAGUGAUUUUCAACCAGAGUUUCACAAGGUUGUCAACCACAUGCUAACCAUAGAUGAGUUUGAGGAUGGCUGGAAGUACUUAAUAGAGAAAUACAACUUGAAAAGUCAUGACUACAUGACUAAUUUGUUUGAAAUACGGCACAAAUGGGCAAAGCCCUACUUCAAGGGGGUGUUCUAUGCAAAAAUGACUAGUACACAACGGAGUGAAAGCGCAAAUCACAUGCUAAAGAACUACGUGCUGCCUGGUUGCCCUAUGCAUGUUUUUGUGAGGAAGUAUAUGAGUUUAAUUUUUGACCGUGAGUCAGAAGAAAAUUAUGAGGAAAAGCGGACAGCAAUUGUAAGUGCAAAACUAAAU
rnacentral:rRNA from 1 species